UGUAUUUAUUAGAUAAAAAACCAGUGCCCUUCGGGGCUUUUUGGUGAUUCAUGAUAACUUUACGGAUCGCAUAGCCUUGCGCUGGCGACGGUUCAUUCAAAUUUCUGCCCUAUCAACUUUCGAUGGUAAGGUAUUGGCUUACCAUGGUUUCAACGGGUAACGGGGAAUUAGGGUUCGAUUCCGGAGAGGGAGCCUGAGAAACGGCUACCACAUCCAAGGAAGGCAGCAGGCGCGCAAAUUACCCAAUCCCGACACGGGGAGGUAGUGACAAUAAAUACUGAUACAGGGCUCUUUUGGGUCUUGUAAUUGGAAUGAGUACAAUUUAAACCUCUUAACGAGGAACAAUUGGAGGGCAAGUCUGGUGCCAGCAGCCGCGGUAAUUCCAGCUCCAAUAGCGUAUAUUAAAGUUGUUGCAGUUAAAAAGCUCGUAGUUGAAACUUGGGCCUGGCUGGCGGGUCCGCCUCACCGCGUGCACUCGUCCGGCCGGGCCUUCCUUCUGAAGAACCUCAUGCCCUUCACUGGGCGUGCUGGGGAACCAGG
rnacentral:rRNA from 1 species